CCGCCGCGGGAACACCGGCGGCCCGAGUGGUGAUCGUGAUUAUUGGGUCUAAAGGGUCCGUAGCCGGUUGGUCAGUCCUCCGGGAAAUCUGAUAGCUCAACUAUUAGGCUUUCGGGGGAUACUGCCAGACUUGGAACCGGGAGAGGUAAGAGGUACUACAGGGGUAGGAGUGAAAUCUUGUAAUCCCUGUGGGACCACCUGUGGCGAAGGCGUCUUACCAGAACGGGUUCGACGGUGAGGGACGAAAGCUGGGGGCACGAACCGGAUUAGAUACCCGGGUAGUCCCAGCCGUAAACGAUGCUCGCUAGGUGUCAGGCAUGGCGCGACCGUGUCUGGUGCCGCAGGGAAGCCGUGAAGCGAGCCACCUGGGAAGUACGGCCGCAAGGCUGAAACUUAAAGGAAUUGGCGGGGGAGCACAACAAACCGGGGUGGAGCCUGCGGUUUAAUUGGACUCAACGCCGGACAACUCACCGGGGGCGACAGCAAUAUGUAGGCCAAGCUGAAGACUUUGCCUGAAUCGCUGAGGGGAGGUGCAUGG
rnacentral:rRNA from 1 species